UAGAGUUUGAUCAUGGCUCAGAGCGAACGCUGGCGGCAGGCCUAACACAUGCAAGUCGAGCGCCCGUAGCAAUACGGGAGCGGCAGACGGGAGAGUAACACGUGGGAACGCGCCCUUCGGUUCGGAAUAACUCAGGGAAACUUGAGCUAAUACCGAAUACGCCCUAACGGGGAAAGAUUUAUCGCCGAAGGAACGGCCCGCGUCCGAUUAGCUAGUUGGUGAGGUAAUGGCUCACCAAGGCGACGAUCGGUAGCUGGUCUGAGAGGAUGACCAGCCUCACUGGGACUGAGACACGGCCCAGACUCCUACGGGAGGCAGCAGUGGGGAAUAUUGGRCMAWKGGSSSMARSCCUGAUCCAGCCAUGCCGCGUGGAUGAUGAAGGCCCUAGGGUUGUAAAGUCCUUUUAACGGGGAAGAUAAUGACGGUACCCGUAGAAUAAGCCCCGGCUAACUUCGUGCCAGCCGCCGCGGUAAUUC
rnacentral:rRNA from 1 species